AGAGUUUGAUCCUGGCUCAGAGCGAACGCUGGCGGCAGGCCUAACACAUGCAAGUCGAACGCCCGGGCAACCGGGAGUGGCAGACGGGUGAGUAACACGUGGGAACGUGCCCUUCGGUUCGGAAUAACUCGGGGAAACCCGAGCUAAUACCGGAUACGUCCGCAAGGAGAAAGAUUUAUCGCCGAAGGAUCGGCCCGCGU
rnacentral:rRNA from 1 species